AUUGAACGCUGGCGGCAUGCCUUACACAUGCAAGUCGAACGGUAACGCGGGGCAACCUGGCGACGAGUGGCGAACGGGUGAGUAAUGUAUCGGAACGUGCCCAGUAGUGGGGGAUAGCCCGGCGAAAGCCGGAUUAAUACCGCAUACGACCUAAGGGUGAAAGCGGGGGAUCGCAAGACCUCGCCCUAUUGGAGCGGCCGACAUCAGAUUAGGUAGUUGGUGGGGUAAAGGCCUACCAAGCCGACGAUCUGUAGCUGGUCUGAGAGGACGACCAGCCACACUGGGACUGAGACACGGCCCAGACUCCUACGGGAGGCAGCAGUGGGGAAUUUUGGACAAUGGGCGCAAGCCUGAUCCAGCCAUGCCGCGUGCGGGAAGAAGGCCUUCGGGUUGUAAACCGCUUUUGUCAGGGAAGAAGAGGUCUGAACUAAUACUUUGGGCUCAUGACGGUACCUGAAGAAUAAGCACCGGCUAACUACGUGCCAGCCGCCGCAGUAACAC
rnacentral:rRNA from 1 species